rnacentral:lncRNA from 1 species
AAGAUGGUACCUGAAUUUUAAACCAAAUAAAGAUCUGAUUGAACAUGGAUCAGAAUGUCUCUAAUAUUAAAUCCGAAAGAAAUUUGAUUGGUAAUUAAGUGAAUAGAAUGUCUCUAAUUUUGAAUUUGUAAUAAAUUUUGAUGGUAUUUUUUAACUCGGUGUUACAUAAAUUUAGAUUCUAGUCUCACAUGAAAGUCACAGUCAUAUCAUUUAUUAAGUCAAAUGGCAUUUUGAAAAUAUAACUGCUACAUUUAUUACCCUUACUUGAUACAUGUACAACCCGAAACAACUGACAUUCUAUUUUGAGUCUGCUUUAUUUGAUACAACCUGUUCAACUAACUUUUUUUUUUUGUGUGUUUUUGCUUGAUACAACCCAUAACAUCUGACAUUUAAUUAUGGGUGUGCUUUGCUUAAUACCCCAACCCCCUUUUGCAACUGAAUUUCAUUUGUUUCAUGUAAUUUAUACACCCCUUUUUAGUCGACUUUAAAUUUUAGAGACUACCCCUUUUUAGUCCAUUUUUUACGUUUUGUGAAAUUUCAAUAAAAUAAAUUAAUUCAAUUAUAUUGUUUGUGUUUGAGUGUUUUUCAAUAAUUAUUUUAGGACACAAUUGAAAUAUUUCUAGAAAUAUUUAGAAAUUGCAGUCUGUGGACAAAAAAGGAUAACAAAAUUUAUCAAAAUGUCCCAACUGCAACAUAUUUCUGGGAAUAUUUAUGAUGUCCUUGUUAGAGGUUGCAGGAUGAAGGUUGUGAAGAUAUUUAUUGAAAUGUUGGUUUUCUUUUUAAAAUACAGAAUUAUUAUAAAUGUUAUUUAUGGUUGAUUUGGAAUGUUUAAAUAGGCAUCAGAAAAUAAAUAUUGUUUUUUUCAAAUACAUGUAUGCAAGACAGGCUAGCAUUUUUUCUUCUAAGUUAUUUGACUGGAAUUUAUUGGCUGUGUUAACCUCCCUUUAUUUCAGACAGAUAUGUCAAUUUUGCUUGAGUUUUUGUUAGACCUCAAAGCACAUUUUCUUCAAUCUUCAGUCAGAAUGUUCAUAACUUAAUCUUAGUAGUUACAGCCUUGUCUCAUGAUAUAUUAGUCAGUUAAGCAGAUUUUCUGUUUCACCUCUCCCUAUUUUCAGUAAUUAAAAAGGAGACGAAAGUAUAGUCUUUUUAAUUAACAUGAGUACUGUUGAAGUUCAGUUAAAAACUGUACGAUGGCUGUAAAGGCAGUCAAGGUUGUUAAUGCUCUCGUCAUGUAAUUAUCUCCCCUUUGUCAGUUGUAUUUUAUUUUCCAAUUGAAAUUAAAAUACAGAGCUUGCAAAUAUGUCAAUAAAAAAAAAA